rnacentral:misc_RNA from 1 species
GAUGAAGAACGCAGCGAAAUGCGAUACGUAAUGUGAAUUGCAGAAUUCAGUGAAUCAUCGAAUCUUUGAACGCACAUUGCGCCUGCCAGCACUCUGGCAGGCAUGCCUGUUCGAGCGUCAUUUCAACCAUCAAGCCCUAGGCUUGCGUUGGAGCCCUGCGGCAGCCGCAGGUCCCUAAAAGCAGUGGCGGGCUCGCUAUCACACCGAGUGCAGUAGAUUACUCUUCGCUCAGGGCGUGUGGCGGGUUCCAGCCGUGAAACCCCCUACUUCUCAAGGUUGACCUCGGAUCAGGUAGGAAUACCCGCUGAACUUAAGCAUAUCAAUAAGCGGAGGA